rnacentral:rRNA from 1 species
CAGGCUUAACACAUCCAAGUCGAGGGGUAUAGUUCUUCGGAACUAGAGACCGGCGCACGGGUGCGUAACGCGUAUGCAAUCUACCUUUCACAGAGGGAUAGCCCAGAGAAAUUUGGAUUAAUACCUCAUAGUAUUAUAGAGUGGCAUCACUUUAUAAUUAAAGUCACAACGGUGAAAGAUGAGCAUGCGUCCCAUUAGCUAGUUGGUAAGGUAACGGCUUACCAAGGCAACGAUGGGUAGGGGUCCUGAGAGGGAGAUCCCCCACACUGGUACUGAGACACGGACCAGACUCCUACGGGAGGCAGCAGUGAGGAAUAUUGGACAAUGGGCGCAAGCCUGAUCCAGCCAUGCCGCGUGCAGGAUGACGGUCCUAUGGAUUGUAAACUGCUUUUGUACAGGAAGAAACACUGGUUCGUGAACCAGCUUGACGGUACUGUAAGAAUAAGGAUCGGCUAACUCCGUGCCAGCAGCCGCGGUAAUACGGAGGAUCCAAGCGUUAUCCGGAAUCAUUGGGUUUAAAGGGUCCGUAGGCGGUUUAGUAAGUCAGUGGUGAAAGCCCAUCGCUCAACGGUGGAACGGCCAUUGAUACUGCUAAACUUGAAUUAUUAGGAAGUAACUAGAAUAUGUAGUGUAGCGGUGAAAUGCUUAGAGAUUACAUGGAAUACCAAUUGCGAAGGCAGGUUACUACUAAUGGAUUGACGCUGAUGGACGAAAGCGUGGGUAGCGAACAGGAUUAGAUACCCUGGUAGUCCACGCCGUAAACGAUGGAUACUAGCUGUUGGAAGCAAUUUCAGUGGCUAAGCGAAAGUGAUAAGUAUCCCACCUGGGGAGUACGUUCGCAAGAAUGAAACUCAAAGGAAUUGACGGGGGCCCGCACAAGCGGUGGAGCAUGUGGUUUAAUUCGAUGAUACGCGAGGAACCUUACCAAGGCUUAAAUGUAGAUUGACCGGUUUGGAAACAGACUUUUCGCAAGACAAUUUACAAGGUGCUGCAUGGUUGUCGUCAGCUCGUGCCGUGAGGUGUCAGGUUAAGUCCUAUAACGAGCGCAACCCCUGUUGUUAGUUGCCAGCGAGUCAUGUCGGGAACUCUAACGAGACUGCCAGUGCAAACUGAGAGGAAGGUGGGGAUGACGUCAAAUCAUCACGGCCCUUACGCCUUGGGCUACACACGUGCUACAAUGGCCGGUACAGAGAGCAGCCACUGGGUGACCAGGAGCGAAUCUAUAAAACCGGUCACAGUUCGGAUCGGAGUCUGCAACUCG